UUCGGUUGAUCCUGCCGGACCUGACUGCUAUCGGAUUGAUACUAAGCCAUGCGAGUCAUUGUAGCAAUACAAGGCAUACGGCUCAGUAACGCGUAGUCAACCUACCCUAUGGACGGGAAUAACCUCGGGAAACUGAGUAUAAUGCCCGAUAGAACACUAUACCUGGAAUGGUUUGUGUUUCAAAUGAUUUAUUGCCGUAGGAUGGGACUGCGGCCUAUCAGUUUGUUGGUGAGGUAAUGGCCCACCAAGACUAUUACGGGUACGGGCUCUGAGAGGAGUGGCCCGGAGAUGGGUACUGAGACACGGACCCAGGCCCUAUGGGGCGCAGCAGGCGAGAAAACCUUGCAAUGUGCGAAAGCACGACAAGGUUAAUCCGAGUGGUUUCUGCUAAAGGAACCUUUUGACAGUCCUAGAAACACUGUUGAAUAAGGGGUGGGCAAGUUCUGGUGUCAGCCGCCGCGGUAAAACCAGCACCUCAAGUGGUCAGGAUGAUUAUUGGGCCUAAAGCAUCCGUAGCCGGCUCAGUAAGUUUUCGGUUAAAUCUGUACGCUCAACGUACAGGCUGCCGGGAAUACUGCAGAGCUAGGGAGUGGGAGAGGUAGACGGUACUCGGGAGGAAGUGGUAAAUGCUUUGAUCUUUCGAUGA
rnacentral:rRNA from 1 species